CUUGGGUACUCGAGUGGCGAACGGGUGAGUAACACGUGGGUGAUCUGCCCUGCACUUCGGGAUAAGCCUGGGAAACUGGGUAUAAUACCGGAUAGGACCACAUUUUGGAUGGUGUGGUGGAAAGUUUUUCGGUGUGGGAUGAGCUCGCGGCCUAUCAGCUUGUUGGUGGGGUAAUGGCCUACCAAGGCGUCGACGGGUAGCCGGCCUGAGAGGGUGUACGGCCACAUUGGGACUGAGAUACGGCCCAG
rnacentral:rRNA from 1 species